AUAUUACUCCCUCCGUCCGGAAAUACUUGUCGGUGGAAUGGAUGUAUCUAGACAUACUUUAGUUCUAGAUACAUCCAUUUUUAUGCAUUUCUUCGACAAGUAUUUCCGGACGGAGGGAGUACUUA
rnacentral:pre_miRNA from 1 species